CAGGAUGCACGCUGGCGGCGUGCUUAACACAUGCAAGUCGAACGGGAAUGCCACGCUGAUGCGAUUUCGGUCAAAUCAUGUGGCAUUCGAGUGGCGGACGGGUGAGUAACGCGUGGGUAACCUGCCUUACACAGGGGGAUAACACCUGGAAACAGGUGCUAAUACCGCAUAAGCGCACAGGGCCGCAUGGCCCGGUGUGAAAAACUCCGGUGGUGUAAGAUGGACCCGCGUCUGAUUAGCUUGUUGGCGGGGUAGGGGCCCACCAAGGCGACGAUCAGUAGCCGGCCUGAGAGGGUGGACGGCCACAUUGGGACUGAGACACGGCCCAAACUCCUACGGGAGGCAGCAGUGGGGGAUAUUGGACAAUGGGGGAAACCCUGAUCCAGCGACGCCGCGUGAGUGAAGAAGUAUUUCGGUAUGUAAAGCUCUGUCAGCAGGGAAGAAAGAAAUGACGGUACCUGACCAAGAAGCCCCGGCUAACUACGUGCCAGCAGCCGCGGUAAUACGU
rnacentral:rRNA from 1 species